rnacentral:rRNA from 1 species
AGCGAACGCUGGCGGCAGGCCUAACACAUGCCAGUCGAACGAACCUUUCGGGGUUAGUGGCGGACGGGUGAGUAACACGUGGGAACGUGCCUUUAGGCUCGGAAUAAUUCAGGGAAACUUGUGCUAAUACCGAAUGUGCCCUUCGGGGGAAAGAUUUAUCGCCUUUAGAGCGGCCCGCGUCUGAUUAGCUAGUUGGUUGAGGUAAUGGCUCACCAAGGCGACGAUCAGUAGCUGGUCUGAGAGGAUGAUCAGCCACAUUGGGACUGAGACACGGCCCAAACUCCUACGGGAGGCAGCAGUGGGGAAUCUUGCGCAAUGGGCGAAAGCCUGACGCAGCCAUGCCGCGUGAAUGAUGAAGGUCUUAGGAUUGUAAAAUUCUUUCACCGGGGACGAUAAUGACGGUACCCGGAGAAGAAGCCCCGGCUAACUUCGUG